UUCUUGAUUUUCUAUCUCUGCCCACUUCUAGCUUGAAGAAAUUUUGAAGUUUAGAGUUUCGAAAAUUUAGGGAUUUCAUGCUAGGGUUGAAGUAUGAUCUUAAUAUUGAGAUAUAUUAUAUUUUUGAUGUUCAUAAGCAUGAUUAUGGUGCUUAAUUGCGUAAAUUCUCACUGGAUUUUAAUUUUGCUCAAGAACCCUAGGAUGUGAAAUUGAGUUUGUUAGUUCAAUGGAAAUUAGGGCUUUUGAGUUAAGAAGGUUUAUAUGCUAUUAAUUGAUGGAUAUAGAUAUAUUAUGAUGUGAUUUUAUCAAAUAUGGAAAUUAGAACAGCCCUAAUGUAUGGAAAAUUGUUAUAAGAAUUGUUAUGUUGUAACUUGUUGGCUUUGUUGUGUUAAACAUGAGUUAAGUUUGAAGUUAAAGCAUUCUAGUAGGUAUUAUGAUCAUGUAUUUGAGUCUCUACACAUUUUAUUUGGCCAAGUAUGAGUUAUAUGUUGAAUUGAAACAAAGGAUGCAUUGCUGUCAAUUUUUAGCUUGACAAAACAGUGUCUUGCGGGAUGAUUUUGAUGAUGUUCCCAUAGCCCAAAUAACUUGAAAAUUUUACUGUAGUAACUUCAUUAUGAGUAUUAGAUUUCUGCAAAAGUUCAGUCAAAUCCGACAUAUUUAGACAUGUCAAACUAUUUUCUGAAAAGUACUGCACGAAGCAGCAAAGUUCAGUGGCAGAUUUUGCCUUUUGUGAUAUAAUUUCUUAUACACUUGAGAUAUUGCAUUUUUGUAAAUUUUCAUUAAAAAUAGACUUUAAGAGCUUUCUAAAAA